AUGAAGUCUGACAUCACCCAGUUGGUCUCUGCAUGUGAUGUGUGCAAGCAAGCUAAGCCGGAACACAUCAGAACGCCCGGGUUGCUUGAGCCGCUAGCAAUACCACCACAUCCCUGGCACACGGUGACUAUGGACUUUAUAGAUGGGUUGCCGGCAUCUAGGGGAUACACUUGCAUCAUGGUGGUAGUUGACAAACUUACCAGGUAUGCUCACUUUGUUCCGCUGAUGCAUCCCUUCACAGCUAUUCAGGUCGCGUCAGCGUACAUGGCAAAUGUGUACAAGCAUCAUGGGUUACCAUAUGCCUUGGUCUCGGAUCGUGACAAGAUCUUUACAAGCACCCUCUGGCGAGAAUUGUUUCGGCUGGCAGGAACUGAACUCCGCAUGUCAUCUGCUUAUCACCCCCAGACGGAUGGUACCACGGAACGCGUGAAUCAGUGUCUGGAGUCUUAUCUCCGCUGUUUUGUUCAUGCUUGUCCACAUCGCUGGUAUCAAUGGCUUCAUUUGGCUGAAUUCUGGUAUAAUACUGCUUAUCACUCUGCACUUGGAGCAUCACCCUUUGAAACCUUGUAUGGGCACCCUCCUCGGCACUUUGGCAUUAUGGAAGCAACAGUUGCAGUUUCUUCAGAUUUGCACAGCUGGGUGCACGAGAGAUCACUCAUGUUAGCUCUGCUCAAACAACAUCUGGAGCGCGCCCGUCAACAUAUGAAGGCUCAAGCUGAUAAGCAUCGAUCAGAGAGAUCCUUUGUGGUGGGCGAUUGGGUGUUUGUCAAACUGCAGCCAUAUGUCCAGGUCUCCGUGGCGCAACGGGCCAGUCACAAGCUUGCUUUUCGUUACUUUGGUCCUUUUCAGGUCGAGGCUCGGGUGGGCACAGUGGCUUAUCGUCUGCUGCUGCCGGCAACGAGCAAGGUGCAUCCGGUUUUCCACGUGUCCCUUCUGCGUGGCGCUCUGCCUCCCUCCACUGAAGUGGCGCCGGAGCUGCCAACCCCACCAUCGGUGCACGCGAUGCCCUUCAUACCGGAGCAGGUCUUGGUGCGUCGGAUCAUCACCAGGGGCACGGCCAAAAUUCCGCAAGUUCUGAUCAAGUGGGCUGAUCAGCCUCGUUCCUUGGCAACGUGGGAAGACUACUUUGAGCUUCGGAGCCGAUUUCCUGGAGCAGCGGCUUGGGGGCAAGCCGCGUCUGAAGGGGGGGACAAUGUCACGUCCUCGGCUACUACCCAAGGCCCACCAGAGGAGCAAGACGGCCUGGCACGGCCCAAAAGGAAGAAGAGGCCCAACCGGCUUUUCGAUCCAGAGACCUGGGAAAUGUAG
rnacentral:rRNA from 1 species